UACAGAGAGUGCAAGCGUUAAUCAGAAUUACUGGGCGUAAAGCGCACGUAGGUGGAUACCUAAGUCAGAUGUGAAAGUCCUGGGCUUAACCUGGGAAUUGCACCUGAUACUGGGUAUCUUGAGUAUGGUAGAGGGAAGUGGAAUUUCCGGUGUAGCGGUGAAAUGCGUAGAUAUCGGAAGGAACACCAGUGGCGAAGGCGGCAUCCUGGACCGACAUUGACGCUGAUGAGCGAAAGCUAGGGGAGCAAACGGG
rnacentral:rRNA from 1 species